rnacentral:rRNA from 1 species
CCCUUAGAUGUUCUGGGCCGCACGCGCGCUACACUGAUGCAUUCAACGAGUCUAAAACCUGCUCUGAUAGGGGUGGGUAAUCUUUUGAAUGCGCAUCGUGAUUGGGAUAGAUGAUUGCAAUUUUUCAUCUUCAACGAGGAAUGCCUAGUAAACGCAAGUCAUCAGCUUGCAUUGAUUACGUCCCUGCCCUUUGUACACACCGCCCGUCGCUCCUACCGAUUGAAUGAUCCGAUGAAUAUCAUGGAUUGAGGAUGCAAGUAGGUUAGCCUAUCUUCAUCUUCGAGAAGUGAAGUAAAUCUUAUCAUUUAGAGGAAGGAGAAGUCGUAACA